GACACUGAGAUGUUUGGAGGGGGGAGGUUGUGGGCAGUCUAGUGAAGAAGUGAAAGUGAAAAUGUUCCUCAGAUUUCUGAGGAGGAAGUCAGUAGGCAUAAAUACGCGAACGCUCUGACAAACUCGCACAAGCCAGGGAGCAGAGAGAGGGAGAGAGCACGAAAAGAGGAGGAAUGACGGGAGCAGGGAACAGGUUUUUCAAGACACAAGUCUUCAGAUGAAACGAGAUAAAUAAACAAGUUUGAUUCUUUCGCAGAGGCACCAAACUUGUUUGUGGUAAAAGCUGUUUGAAUGUUAUUUCUUUUUCCUUAUUUAAUAAAGGUACACUUGAUAAAUGUAAGCAGCUUGAAAUUUCCAUACGAAAAAAAAAAAGUUAAAUGAUGAAGUAUUGGCAGAUGUGUUUGUUCACAGAGUGUAAAUGAAAAUGGCCACAGCAGUUUGGAAGUUAACGGAACCCAUAAUGCAGCUGUUUGCUUGAUUGACAGCUGGCUAUGGAUUCCGUGCCCUUCCUCUCUUGCAGGAGCUUGAAGAUGAAAAUUGUGUGUGCUGGAGGAAUUCAGGAGUUGGCCUCAUUCAGAUAUGAUAUUAUAUGUGAAUUUUACAUCAGUAUAACUUGAAAUGUAUUUGAAUAUAUAUACAAGGUUAUGGUUGGGUCAGAAAUGUGUAUGUGUGUAUGUGUGUACAGCAUAUGAGGUCUGAUGUUGCUCUGGAAUGACACGUUUUCUCCCGGAUUGCCAGAAAUAUGUUUAGCCACCGGGAACUUCGUGUCAGCCCAGAUAAGCAUCACUUCCUGACAAGAUCUUCAGAAUCCUCAGUGUUCAGUAAUCAGUAAAUCUCAUAAUCUCUUACUAAAAUGCUUCAUCAGACAUUUGAGUGUUGUCUCUGGAAUUCUCCAAUAAAUUAAGAACAUUUGCCAUG